rnacentral:rRNA from 1 species
CGAAAAUAGAAAUUAAUAAAAUAUGAAGAGUACUGCCUGCCCGGUGACAUUGUUUAACGGCUGCGGUAUUUUGACCGUGCAAAGGUAGCAUAAUCAUUUGUCUUUUAAAAGGAGACUGGUAUGAAUGGCAAGACGGGGUUAAACUGUCUCUUUUUUAGAACUUGAAAUUAAUAUUCUUGUGAAGAAGCAAGAAUAUUGUCGUAGGACGAGAAGACCCUAUUGAGCUUAAAUAGAAAUAAUAAAAUUUUUAUGAUAAUUUUUUGCUAAUAAAUUUAUUUAAUAAAUAAGAAAAUUACAUUAAGUAGGAAGAAUAAUUAUGGUAAUAUUUUGAUUGGGGCAAUCGUAGAGAAUAAGAAACCUCUAUUAAAUAAAAAAUAAAAUUAACAAUUUAACUGGUUUAAAGAUAUUAAAUGAUCCAUUAAAAUUAAUGAUCAAAGGAAUAAGUUACCAUAGGGAUAACAGCGUAAUUUUUUUGAAGAGUUCAUAUUGAUAAAAGAGUUUGCGACCUCGAUGUUGGAUCGGGAUUUCCUAAAAAUGCAGCAGUUUUGAAGGGUUGGUCUGUUCGACCAUUAAAAUCCU